GAUGAACGCUGGCGGCGUGCCUAAUACAUGCAAGUCGAGCGAACGGACGAGAAGCUUGCUUCUCUGAUGUUAGCGGCGGACGGGUGAGUAACACGUGGAUAACCUACCUAUAAGACUGGGAUAACUUCGGGAAACCGGAGCUAAUACCGGAUGAUAUUUUGAACCGCAUGGUUCAAAAGUGAAAGACGGUCUUGCUGUCACUUAUAGAUGGAUCCGCGCUGCAUUAGCUAGUUGGUAAGGUAACGGCUUACCAAGGCAACGAUGCAUAGCCGACCUGAGAGGGUGAUCGGCCACACUGGAACUGAGACACGGUCCAGAAUCCUAAGGGAGGCAGCAGUAGGGAAUCUUCCGCAAUGGGCGAAAGCCUGACGGAGCAACGCAGCGUGAGUGAUGAAGGUCUUCGGAUCGUAAAACUCUGUUAUUAGGGAAGAACAUAUGUGUAAGUAACUGGGCACAUCGUGACGGUACCUAAUCAGAAAGCCACGGCUAACUACGUG
rnacentral:rRNA from 1 species